CUUAGUGGCGAACGGGUGAGUAACGCGUGAGUAACCUGCCCUGGAGUGGGGGACGAACAGUUGGAAACGACUGCUAAUACCGCAUAAGCCCACGGAUCCGCAUGGAUCUGCGGGAAAAGGAUUUAUUCGCUUCAGGAUGGACUCGCGUCCAAUUAGCUAGUUGGUGAGGUAACGGCCCACCAAGGCAACGAUCAGUAGCCGGCCUGAGAGGGUGAACGGCCACAUUGGGACUGAGACACGGCCCAAACUCCUACGGGAGGCAGCAUG
rnacentral:rRNA from 1 species